UGAGGAAUAUUGGUCAAUGGACGCAAGUCUGAACCAGCCAAAUCGCGUGAAGGAAGACUGCCUUAUGGGUUGUAAACUUCUUUUAUACAGGAAUAAAAAAAGUUACGUGUAACUUAUUGCAUGUACUGUAUGAAUAAGCAUCGGCUAACUCCGUGCCAGCAGCCGCGGUAAUACGGAGGAUGCGAGCGUUAUCCGGAUUUAUUGGGUUUAAAGGGUGCGCAGGCGGGCUUUUAAGUCAGCGGUGAAAUCCCGACGCUUAACGUCGGCACUGCCGUUGAAACUGGGAGCCUUGAGUAUAGAUGAAGUAGGCGGAAUUCGUUGUGUAGCGGUGACAUGCUUAGAUAUAACGAGGAACACCAAUUGCGUAGGCAGCUUACUAAACUAUAACUGACGCUCAAGC
rnacentral:rRNA from 1 species